rnacentral:rRNA from 1 species
GGGAGGCAGCAGUGGGGAAUAUUGCCAAAUGGGCGCAAGCCUGAUGCCGCCAUGCCGCGUGUGUGAAGAAGGCCUUCGGGUUGUAAAGCACUUUCAGCGGGGAGGAAGGCGUUAAGGUUAAUAACCUCAUCGAUUGACGUUACCCGCAGAAGAAGCACCGGCUAACUCCGUGCCAGCAGCCGCGGUAAUACGGAGGGGGCAAGCGUUAAUCGGAAUUACUGGGCGUAAAGCGCACGCAGGC